rnacentral:miRNA from 1 species
CAUGGUGCCGGUUCCGGUGGCG